rnacentral:ncRNA from 1 species
UAGAACGUCGUGAGACAGUUCGGUCCCUAUCUGCCGUGGACGUUUGAGAUUUGAGAGGGGCUGACCUUAGUACGAGAGGACCGGGUUGGACGAACCUCUGGUGUUCCGGUUGUCACGCCAGUGGCAUUGCCGGGUAGCUAUGUUCGGAAAAGAUAACCGCUGAAAGCAUCUAAGCGGGAAACUUGCCUCAAGAUGAGAUCUCACUGGAGCCUUGAGCUCCCUAAAGGGCCGUCGAAGACUACGACGUUGAUAGGUUGGGUGUGUAAGCGCUGUGAGGCGUUGAGCUAACCCAUACUAAUUGCCCGUGAGGCUUGACCAU